CCCAAGUGCUACUCCUAUAGAGAAGCCUGGAUGUUGUAACCAUAAUUUCCUUUUUUUUUUUUUCUGUUUGAUUUCUAUAUGAAAUUGUGACUGAGUAAUGAACUUUAGAACCACAUAAAUCUGUUUAAGGGAGAAGCAGAAGAAUGACAGAAUUUCUCUUUCUAAACAUCUGAGUCUAGCUUUCUGCUCAGGUAAAGCCUUACACCAGUGACAACACAUCCUGUGACCACAGUGUGACUCUGCUGGGCGUCCUCAGCAGUAACCCAAGGGUGUCACUGAGGAACGGAGGCCACUUCCUGCCAAACAAACACCACACGCCGCUCGCUGGCUGCGGAGGCCACUGAUGGGGCACCAGUAACGAAUGAAUGUUAGCUCAGAGGAGGCAGUGACUGGAACAUCUGAGAUCUGUUACCGCACGAAGGAGUACCAUCUCUUUCGACGGACCCACACAACGGUUCUCACAACCCUCCUCAAGAGCCACCCUGUCCCUCCACAUACUGAAGGCACACACGCUUCUGCUUCUGAACUAACCUGAAAGUCUGCAUCCCGGUCUGCAAACAAGGUCACGAAGAGAUCAAAGCCACAGAGCCCGCCUAAUCGCCCUGAGUCUUUUCACUGAGAAUGAGCUAAAAUAAAGUCCUGGUGAUCUAUGGAGUAAGAGCUUUAUGCAGACCCUGCUGGACGGCUAGGAUGCCUGAGCUGCUAAUAAAA